AUGCGAUCCGUUGUAGAGAUUGGGGCUAGUGUCCCAGCGUUUCUGGGAAAAUUAUGGAAAUUAGUAAAUGAUACCGAGACAAAUCAUCUGAUUUCUUGGAGCCCUGCUGGAAAAACAUUUGUUAUAAAGAAUCAAGCUGAUUUUGCAAGAGAACUUCUACCUUUAUAUUACAAACAUAAUAAUAUGGCAAGUUUCAUCAGACAAUUGAACAUGUAUGGUUUUCAUAAAAUAACUUCUGUUGAGAAUGGAGGUUUGAGAUAUGAAAAGGAUGAAAUAGAGUUUUCACAUCCAUGUUUUAUGAAGGGUCAUGCUUAUUUACUUGAACAUAUCAAAAGGAAGAUUGCUAAUCCCAAAUCAAUUGUAACAAGUAAUGAAAGUGGAGAAAAGAUAUUGGUAAAACCGGAGUUGAUGAACAAAGUGCUUGCUGAUGUCAAACAAAUGAAAGGUAAACAAGAAAGCCUUGAUGCCAAGUUUAGUGCCAUGAAGCAGGAGAAUGAAGCCCUCUGGCGGGAAGUGGCAAUACUCAGGCAGAAGCAUAUAAAGCAGCAACAAAUUGUGAACAAUCUUAUUCAAUUUCUUAUGUCGUUGGUCCAACCUACUCGUCCACCAAAUGCUAGUGGAAAUAAUGUUGGUGUUAAGAGGCCCUACCAGUUAAUGAUUAAUAAUGCAGCAUACAAUGCCAACACUGAUCCUUCAUACCCUGGAAGAUUAAAAAAUAUUAAAUUGGACAAAGAUGCUUUAAUGGAAGACUUGAAUGAUGACAAUUUGGAGGAUGGGCCUACUAUUCAUGAGUUAGCUCAUGAUGAUAUUUUGCACACGGAAACUUCUCAAGAUGCCCUGGAUCCUAGCAGUUUUGUUACUAUUGACAUGAAUAACACAGUUACUAGAGGGCACAGUCCAAAUGAUCCCUUGUCCUCAAUACAGUAUCAUGUUACAAUGGAAGAUGGAGAUGACAUAGAUACAGGUGGUAACAGGGUGGUUUAUCCUAUUUGCCGAAGUAAUGGCUUUCCAAGUACAGAUGUACUGCCUGUUAUUACAUCACCACCACCCACUCAAGUUAAUCCAUCCUCACCUAUGGAUCAUGUUACGAUGGUUCCUAUGGCAAACAACAUUAUAUUGUCUCCUACCCCAGGCACAUCAAAGUCAAGGACUAAGAGUAAGAACUCCCAAGCAAGUGGUAAAACUCUAAUUUCUCCCACCAACUUCAACACAAUAAAUCCUUCAGCUGAUUUAAAACUUCCAGCUGAGAUAUUUGCUAGUGAUGAUUCUGUAAGUGACACAGGUGUUGUAAGUGCAGAAGAUGCAACAAUACAGAAUAUUUUACAAGAUGUUUCAGUUGAUCCAAUGGCAUCCACUUCAAAAGACAAAAUGUUUGGCGGUAUAAACAUUAAAGUGGAAAAACCAACAGAAGUUUCUAAAGCAUCCAAGAAAUCUAGGAAGCCAACCAACAAAGAUGCACAUGAAAAUGUUAAUUUAAGUGAUAUAAAGACUGAAUUACAAGAUGACUUUGACUGGAAUAAUAUGACUCUUGCUACAGUCAAUAACAACCCUAAUGUCAACAGGUUUCAAAACAGGAAUAGGAGAGAUAACAUCAGCAAAAAUCGGGAGGAAUGUUCUUCCCUCUUUGGAACAAAUUCAAACAAGAAUGACAUUGAUGAUCACUUAGAUGCGAUGCAAUCCGAUAUUGAAUCGUUGAGGGAGCUGCUCAGAAGCGACAACUACGCUCUUGAUACCAGCACACUAUUGGGGAAUGGUGAAGCAGGACUAGGACCUUCGAUGUCCUUGGCCAUUUCUGCUCGUCAUCAACCACCAAAUGAUUAUCUAUUUGGAUCGGACGAUCCUUUCUAUGGACUGACCUUCAACUCGUCGGACGACAAGUCGAAAACAUCGACAAACAGCGAUACAACCAAACAGUAUCCGAUGAUUGAUUUUGAUUGGCUGAUCAAUAACAGCGAAGCCUCGCCUGCAAAGUAGCCAUGGCUACGUCGUUCAAGAUAUUUGCAAUGCUGUGCACGUCAUGUCCGCAGUGGCAUGACGUGUUGGAAAUUUUGGUAAUGGGGUAAAAUAGUGCUGGUGGUUCCGGUAACCGGUUAGCGGCACGCGUUGGGGGCAACGUUGUUACCUUCCAUCUACAGUCUACGUCAUGUUCCUGUGAACACUGUUAUUUUGUAAAUAUUAUACUACCUGUGCAGAUUUCCAUCACAUAAGUUUUGUUUCAUCACAUAUCUUAAUUUAGUUAUAUGAUCACGAUAGUAUAGGGAUGCAGAAGCGGUAUUAUUUUUAUAUGUUUAAACGAAUAUCAUUUGUUGCGACAUAUAAAUUGUUUGACAACUUGUGGUUAAUUCAUCUCGGUUUUGAUAAUUCCGUGGACAGUGUAGCGUUCUAGAUUUUAAGUCAAUAUGUUAUAAAAGUACCUAUAACUGUAUUUUAUUGUUAAUUAAAGCAAAGAAGCAGAGAGGUGAAAUUUCGAAUGUAAGAAGUGACGACUCUCGCGACCAGCAGUUUAUAGAAGAUGAUGUUGAAGGGAAUCAGCUAAUCUCGUAUACAGGGAAUAUUCCAGACUUUGAGGAUAUAAACAUGCCGGAUCUAGAGUGUGAGAACUCGCAGGACUCGUGCCUGUCGCCGUCCGUCAGCUCCACGCUCAACACGCCGCAGGUGCAGGCGCGCUCGCCUUCCUUCACACUCAAG
rnacentral:misc_RNA from 1 species